GACGAACGCUGGCGGCGUGCUUAACACAUGCAAGUCGAACGGAAAGGCCCUGCUUUUGUGGGGUGCUCGAGUGGCGAACGGGUGAGUAACACGUGAGUAACCUGCCCUUGACUUUGGGAUAACUUCAGGAAACUGGGGCUAAUACCGGAUAGGAGCUCCUGCUGCAUGGUGGGGGUUGGAAAGUUUCGGUGGUUGGGGAUGGACUCGCGGCUUAUCAGCUUGUUGGUGGGGUAGUGGCUUACCAAGGCUUUGACGGGUAGCCGGCCUGAGAGGGUGACCGGCCACAUUGGGACUGAGAUACGGCCCAGACUCCUACGGGAGGCAGCAGUGGGGAAUAUUGCACAAUGGGCGGAAGCCUGAUGCAGCAACGCCGCGUGCGGGAUGACGGCCUUCGGGUUGUAAACCGCUUUCGCCUGUAACGAAGCGUGAGUGACGGUAAUGGGUAAAGAAGCACCGGCUAACUACGUG
rnacentral:rRNA from 1 species